rnacentral:rRNA from 1 species
AGAUUGAACGCUGGCGGCAGGCCUAACACAUGCAAGUCGAGCGGUAGAGAGGUGCUUGCAUCUCUUGAGAGCGGCGGACGGGUGAGUAAUGCCUAGGAAUCUGCCUAGUGGUGGGGGAUAACGUUCGGAAACGGACGCUAAUACCGCAUACGUCCUACGGGAGAAAGCGGGGGACCUUCGGGCCUCGCGCCAUUAGAUGAGCCUAGGUCAGAUUAGCUAGUUGGUGAGGUAAAGGCUCACCAAGGCGACGAUCUGUAGCUGGUUUGAGAGGACGACCAGCCACACUGGGACUGAGACACGGCCCAGACUCCUACGGGAGGCAGCAGUGGGGGAAUUUGGACAAUGGGGGAAACCCUGAUCCAGCCAUCCCGCGUGUGCGAUGAAGGCCUUCGGUGUAAGAC